rnacentral:rRNA from 1 species
UACGAAGGGUGCAAGCGUUACUCGGAAUUACUGGGCGUAAAGGGCGCGUAGGCGGCCUGCUAAGUCGAACGUGAAAUCCCUGGGCUCAACCCAGGAACUGCGUCCGAUACUGGUUGGCUUGAAUCCGGGAGAGGGACGUGGAAUUCCAGGUGUAGCGGUGAAAUGCGUAGAUAUCUGGAGGAACACCGGUGGCGAAGGCGACGUCCUGGACCGGCAUUGACGCUGAGGCGCGAAAGCCAGGGGAGCAAACGGG